AGGGGAGGGCAAAGGAGAGAGGCAAAAGAUCAUAAGAUCAUAGCCUUUAAUUAUUCAACAUAAAGUUAACCUUCUUUUCUCAUCCUCAUUUCUAUUUUCCAAUAAAUUGUGAGUGAUGGGGAAUUCAGGCAAGAGUUCAUCUGCAGAGAUAUUUGAUCCAGAACAACAAUCUCUCCUUCACUGGCUUUCAAAUUAUAAACUCGCAGCAGAAUCUUGGAAGAUGUUGUCUCAGGGUACAGUGGUAAUGCUGCCCCUGUUUUUCAGCAGUUUCUUCAAAGACCCUGACUGA
rnacentral:lncRNA from 1 species